rnacentral:rRNA from 1 species
GAGAAGUGUGUUGCAUAAGGGGCGGUAGUGCGUAGGCUGGGGUUGUUGUACGGAGGUACUGUGGGUAAAGUGCUCGUUGGUGGUUUGUUGCGUUGUUCGUGAAAACUCACAGCUGAGCGGGUGGCGGGCGGGCGAUACGGGCAGACUAGAGUACUGCAGGGGAGACUGGAAUUCCUGGUGUAGCGGUGGAAUGCGCAGAUAUCAGGAGGAACACCGGUGGCGAAGGCGGGUCUCUGGGCAGUAACUGACGCUGAGGAGCGAAAGCGUGGGGAGCGAACAGGAUUAGAUACCCUAGUAGUC